UUUCAGCAUCAUUACUUCAGUCUUCAGUGUCACAUGAUCCUUCAGAAAUCCUUCUAAUAUGAUGAUUUAUUAUAAGUGUUGGAAAUAGUUGUGCAGCUUAGUAUAUGUGUUUUAUGUAUUUAUUUAUUUUCUUUUGAAACCAGUGAACAUUUUUCAGGAUUCUUUGAUAAAAGUUAAAAACAACAGCACUUAUUUAAAAUAGAAAUCUUAUGCAACAAUAACAAUAAUGCCGUGCUUGGUGUCUAUCUAAUCUUCAGGUGAGAGUUGAAUGGCGCUUAGUGUCUCGCGAGAUUUAAAUUGGGUUUCCUCUGUUUCAAGCAAGGCAUUCGAUUGGCUGGUAGGUGCUGAUGUCGCGCUGCAAGAACAACAUGGCACGGGUUCAAAGCCUUAUUCAACUGAGAAAAUUGAUCAGCGUCAUGGUACAAGCGAAGUCUGAAUGGUUUGUUUCCCUGUUUCUUCUGCCUUGGCUGCACCAGCUGUGGAAACCAGGCCUGGUGAGGACCCUCUCCUCCAUCCUCAACUAUUGAACCUCUUAUAUCACUCGGAUGAGGUGUUCUGGAUCCAGACUGGAGCUUGUGUAAAUCCUAGUUACCACGGGAUGAAGAUCCCAGCCGAAACAGAGAAACAAAUAGAGACAUCAUAAGCAUAGCUGUACUUUAGGACAGACCAGCCUGUGAUCUCCUAAGACACCCAGAUUCACCCCUGGUCACGAUCUGUCCCACACCUGUGUCUCCUCACAGUCCAUCGCCAGUGUCUGCACCCUGCACACUGCCAAUAUUAUGGAUUUCUGUUCUGGAGAGAGAUGCCAUUCACAACAUAAUCUCUACACAAUAUCAAACUCAAAUAAUUUAGUCUUGCCUAACAGUUUCCCUGAUUUGUUACUGUUCACAAUGUAGCAUGGUCUUGCCUACCUUUGUCCAUUCAGUUAUUAAAAUGUUUUUAAUAUUUGUAUUGAAUAUAUCUCAAGGUUAUUAUUUAAAAGCAACUUCACUUGAUCUUUCCCUAGAAGAGAUAAUAGGUGUGUUUGACUUGAAGCAGUGCUGUGCAAACCGAUCGAAGUAUGACAUCACGGUACCAUGAGAGCAAUAAGACGGCUUAAUAUAUAGGUCCUUCUCAAAAAAUUAGCAUAUUGUGAUAAAAGUUCAUUAUUUCCAUAAUGUAAUGAUAAAAAUUAAACUUUCAUAUAUUUUAGAUUCAUUGCACACCAACUGAAAUAUUUCAGGUCUUUUAUUGUUUUAAUACUGAUGAUUUUAGCAUACAGCUCAUGAAAACCCCAAAUUCCUAUCUCAAAAAAUUAGCAUAUUUCAUCCGG